rnacentral:rRNA from 1 species
UGGGGAAUUUUGGACAAUGGGCGAAAGCCUGAUCCAGCAAUGCCGCGUGUGUGAAGAAGGCCUUCGGGUUGUAAAGCACUUUUGUCCGGAAAGAAAUCCUUGGCUCUAAUACAGUCGGGGGAUGACGGUACCGGAAGAAUAAGCACCGGCUAACUACGUGCCAGCAGCCGCGGUAAUACGUAGGGUGCAAGCGUUAAUCGGAAUUACUGGGCGUAAAGCGUGCGCAGGCGGUUUGCUAAGACCGAUGUGAAAUCCCCGGGCUCAACCUGGGGAACUGCAUUGGUGACUGGCAGGCUAGAGUAUGGCAGAGGGGGGUAGAAUUCCACGUGUAGCAGUGAAAUGCGUAGAGAUGUGGAGGAAUACCGAUGGCGAAGGCAGCCCCCUGGGCCAAUACUGACGCUCAUGCACGAAAGCGUGGGGGAGCAAACAGGAUUAGAUACCCUGGUAGUCCACGCCCUAAACGAUGUCAACUAGUUGUUGGGGGAUUCAUUUCCUUAGUAACGUAGCUAACGCGUGAAGUUGACCGCCUGGGGGAGUACGGUCGCAAGAUU